rnacentral:rRNA from 1 species
GACGAACGCUGGCGGCGUGCUUAACACAUGCAAGUCGAACGGUAAGGCCCUUCGGGGUACACGAGUGGCGAACGGGUGAGUAACACGUGGGUGAUCUGCCCCGCACUUCGGGAUAAGCCUGGGAAACUGGGUCUAAUACCGGAUAGGACCACUGCCUGCAUGGGUGGUGGUGGCAAGCUUUUGCGGUGUGGGAUGGGUCCGCGGCCUAUCAGCUUGUUGGUGGGGUGAUGGCCUACCAAGGCGACGACGGGUAGCCGGCCUGAGAGGGUGACCGGCCACACUGGGACUGAGAUACGGCCCAGACUCCUACGGGAGGCAGCAGUGGGGAAUAUUGCACAAUGGGCGCAAGCCUGAUGCAGCGACGCCGCGUGAGGGAUGACGGCCUUCGGGUUGUAAACCUCUUUCAGCACCGACGAAGCGCAAGUGACGGUAGGUGCAGAAGAAGGACCGGCCAACUACGUGCCAGCCGCCGCCGUAA